rnacentral:rRNA from 1 species
UAGUACCCGGAGGAAGAGAAAGAAAAUUCGAUUCCCUUAGUAGCGGCGAGCGAAACGGGAAGAGCCCAAACCAACAAGCUUGCUUGUUGGGGUUGUAGGACACUCUAUACGGAGUUACAAAGGACGACAUUAGACGAAUCAUCUGGAAAGAUGAAUCAAAGAAGGUAAUAAUCCUGUAGUCGAAAAUGUUGUCUCUCUUGAGUGGAUCCUGAGUACGACGGAGCACGUGAAAUUCCGUCGGAAUCUGGGAGGACCAUCUCCUAAGGCUAAAUACUCUCUAGUGACCGAUAGUGAACCAGUACCGUGAGGGAAAGGUGAAAAGCACCCCGGAAGGGGAGUGAAAUAGAACCUGAAACCGUGUGCUUACAAGUAGUCAGAGCCCGUUAAUGGGUGAUGGCGUGCCUUUUGUAGAAUGAACCGGCGAGUUACGAUUUGAUGCAAGGUUAAGCAGUAAAUGUGGAGCCGUAGCGAAAGCGAGUCUGAAUAGGGCGUUUAGUAUUUGGUCGUAGACCCGAAACCAGGUGAUCUACCCUUGGUCAGGUUGAAGUUCAGGUAACACUGAAUGGAGGACCGAACCGACUUACGUUGAAAAGUGAGCGGAUGAACUGAGGGUAGCGGAGAAAUUCCAAUCGAACCUGGAGAUAGCUGGUUCUCUCCGAAAUAGCUUUAGGGCUAGCCUCAAGUGAUGAUUAUUGGAGGUAGAGCACUGUUUGGACGAGGGGCCCCUCUCGGGUUACCGAAUUCAGACAAACUCCGAAUGCCAAUUAAUUUAACUUGGGAGUCAGAACAUGGGUGAUAAGGUCCGUGUUCGAAAGGGAAACAGCCCAGACCACCAGCUAAGGUCCCAAAAUAUAUGUUAAGUGGAAAAGGAUGUGGCGUUGCCCAGACAACUAGGAUGUUGGCUUAGAAGCAGCCAUCAUUUAAAGAGUGCGUAAUAGCUCACUAGUCGAGUGACACUGCGCCGAAAAUGUACCGGGGCUAAACAUAUUACCGAAGCUGUGGAUUGUCCUUUGGACAAUGGUAGGAGAGCGUUCUAAGGGCGUUGAAGCAUGAUCGUAAGGACAUGUGGAGCGCUUAGAAGUGAGAAUGCCGGUGUGAGUAGCGAAAGACGGGUGAGAAUCCCGUCCACCGAUUGACUAAGGUUUCCAGAGGAAGGCUCGUCCGCUCUGGGUUAGUCGGGUCCUAAGCUGAGGCCGACAGGCGUAGGCGAUGGAUAACAGGUUGAUAUUCCUGUACCACCUAUAAUCGU